GGACAUGUGGCCCAGUGGUAAGGCAUCUACAUCUCAUGUAGGAGACCUGCGUUCGAUUCGCAGCAUGUUCA